UACAGAGGUCUCAAGCGUUGUUCGGAUUCAUUGGGCGUAAAGGGUGCGUAGGCGGCGCGGUAAGUCCGGGUGUGAGAUCUCGGAGCUUAACUCCGAAACUGCAUUCGAUACUGCCGUGCUUGAGGACUGGAGAGGAGACUGGAAUUUACGGUGUAGCGGUGAAAUGCGUAGAUAUCAGGAGGAACACCGGUGGCGAAGGCGGAUCUCUGGGCCUUACCUGACGCUCAGGCGCGAAAGCUAGGGGAGCGAACUGG
rnacentral:rRNA from 1 species